UAGGGAAUCUUCGGCAAUGGACGAAAGUCUGACCGAGCAACGCCGCGUGAGUGAAGAAGGUUUUCGGAUCGUAAAACUCUGUUGGUAGAGAAGAACGUUGGUGAGAGUGGAAAGCUCAUCAAGUGACGGUAACUACCCAGAAAGGGACGGCUAACUACGUGCCAGCAGCCGCGGUAAUACGUAGGUCCCGAGCGUUGUCCGGAUUUAUUGGGCGUAAAGCGAGCGCAGGUGGUUUAUUAAGUCUGGUGUAAAAGGCAGUGGCUCAACCAUUGUAUGCAUUGGAAACUGGUAGACUUGAGUGCAGGAGAGGAGAGUGGAAUUCCAUGUGUAGCGGUGAAAUGCGUAGAUAUAUGGAGGAACACCGGUGGCGAAAGCGGCUCUCUGGCCUGUAACUGACACUGAGGCUCGAAAGCGUGGGGAGCAAACAGGAUUAGAUACCCUGGUAGUCCACGCCGUAAACGAUGAGUGCUAGAUGUAGGGAGCUAUAAGUUCUCUGUAUCGCAGCUAACGCAAUAAGCACUCCGCCUGGGGGAGUACGACCGCAAGGUUGAAACUCUAAA
rnacentral:rRNA from 1 species